UUUAUAUUAUAAUUUUUAAAGUCAUAAUAUAUAGAUUGGGGACUGGUUUUUACUCCGACAGAUAUCAAAGAAUGUGGACGAGCAUUCUUUCUUGGAUUUUCUACGAAAAAUUGAAGAAGAGAAGAAGUGGUUUGUGGAACAGAAGGGCAGGUUUGCAACCUUGAGAAAUUUAUCCA